AGACAGGUGGUGCNUUGGCUUGUCGUCAGCUCGUGCUCGUGAAGAUGUUGGUGUUAAUGUCCCGCAACGAGGCGCAACCCUUUAUUGUCAGUAGCCAGCAUUUCGGGAUGGGCACUCUGGAUGAGACUGCCAGGGAAUAACCGUGGAAGGAAGGUGGGGAUGACGUCAAGAUCAUCAUGGCCCCUUAUGACUUGGGCUACACACGUGCUACAAUGGCGUAAACAAAGGGAACGCGAGCCCGCGAGGCGGGAGCAAAUCCCAAAAAUAGAGCGUCCCANUCUCGGAUUGUAGUCUGCAACCCGAUCUACAUAGAAGCUGGAAUCGCUAGUAAUCGCGGUAUCAGCAUGCCGCGGUGAAUACGUUCCCGGGCCUUGUACAC
rnacentral:rRNA from 1 species